rnacentral:ncRNA from 2 species
CAAGGAAAUCGCAUGUCCGGUUCCGGAGUUUUCACGCUUCGGAGGAAAGAGGGAAUGCAGUGCGGCACGCGAGUGCCUACCCUGCAGCUGCCCCCGCAACUGUAAGCGGCAAGCAGGGCUGAUAUGCCACUGGAGAAAUCCGGGAAGGCCAGUCCAGAUGCGAUGACCCGCGAGCCAGGAGACCUGCCGGACUGGCGCCUCAGGA